CACGGUUCCCUUAUUCCCAUCGCCGCAUGCCGCUACAUCCGUCCAUCCUCUCGCGUAGAGCCAAGCCCUAAACCCCGCAUGCCUCGUCUCUCGCCUCGCCUGUCCACCGUUCGGUGCAGCGCCUCCCUAAACCCUCCUCGUCUGUCGCCUCGCCGUUCCGCCGUCCGGUGCAGCGCUGUGGCAUCCACGAUCGAGGCCCGGGCACAGGCAGCCGAGGAAUUGGGAGGCACCAUCGGCGGGCGGACAGAGGCAGCUGCGAUCGCGGAGGGUUAUCACAGGUUAGGGUUUGUUCAUGUUCUUCUGAACGUUGAUCCAUUGGUUUGGGGUCUUGCUGUAUGAAUUGGCUCGAGAAUGGGUCAAAUGGAUCGUAUAGGUAGUUCUGAUCCUGGUGGUUCGACGAUUUGGAGGGAGGUUGAGUGACGGUGAUGAAUUUGCCUGGAGAAGCAGGCUCGGCCGGAAAGGGGAAGAGGAGCGAGAAAGGAUGAGAUCGUGCCCUGGGGAAGAAGGCUUGGCAUGCCUGAUUGUUUCUGAAUCAGGCAAUGUUAAGGAUGUGCUGUAGAUGAAUCAGACAAUGUUAAGGAUGUGUUGUAGAUGAAAGCUCGCAUCUAGAAGAUGCCAAGUUACAUGCAGUUUUAAUUCAAGGUUGCCUGCGCAUUUUUUCCACAAUUGAGUUGUGUGAUUUGUGCCUAUCUUCGUUCCUUUUAAAAGAUGUUGUGAACUGUAAUCUUGACCUCUGCCAUUUGGGCAACUCCAUUCUUACUUUGAGCCUCGUGCUAUCAGCCUAUCACUAGAAAAGUAUGGCAGUGCAAAAUUGCUCAUAUUAAUACUCCGUUGCUAACCAAGUGGGAAGCACAUGCACCUCUGAAUCAGGCAAUGUAAAGCCCUUCUUCCUGUGAACCUGCAAAUUGGACUCCCCUAUUUACUGUCAAGUUUGUUUCUGAAUAGAGAAAAGGGCUGCCCUUCUUAGUGAGCAAUAAGCGAGCAGUAUAGGAUGAGAUCCCUUGCCCCUACACCUCACGCUUGCUUGCCUGAUUGUUUCUGAAUCAAGCAAUGUAAAGCCCUUCUUGCUUCCUAUGAACCUGCAAAUUGGACCCCCCUUUUUACUGUCAAAUGUGUUUCUGAAUCAAGAAAUGGGCUGCCCUUCUUCAUCUGAGCUGUGAUUGAUCUUUAACAUUGUGGCCUUCAAAAUCUGCAACUCAAACAGGGUACGUUGCUCACUUUAACAUAGCGUGCAGUCCCAGAUGUGGAGCUGCAGUUGUGCUCGAAUAUGCCAUGCUUGUCUCUUCCAUGCUUGAAUCGGAUUUUGUUGUCCUGAACAUUGCUUUUUCACUUAACGCAGACCCAAAUGAAUAAUUACAGCCGUUGUGCUCGAAAUAGGCACUUUCAUUAGUUUGUCCUCGAAACCAUUCUUGUACAGUUAGCUUAGGGUUCAUAUAAAAUUCAGUCUUUUCACAGUUGGAUUUGUUAAUGUUAAUCCAGAUCAAAUUGGGUAGUGGAGUGCGUUUGAAAUGGCUAUGAUUUGGUGGGGUGGUGCUGACAUUUUGUAGGUUUGCCCAGAACCUUUAUGUUUCCAAAUAUGGAUUCAGGCAAGAAGAAUGGAGUGCCAAUCAAGGGAACCCUUUUGGUAAUUUGAACACACCACGCCCUGACUCGAGAGAGCUCAAGCGGGAAAGGGACCGCGCCCAGUCUGCUUCGUUAACUCAUCAAGAACAGAAAAACGAACGCAAAAGGAGGCAUCACGGGGCUUACAGGAUGAAAAACGGGAUUACCAUGCGUGCUGAGUCUGAAAUUUCACAGCAACAUACUAUUGAUCUUACUGUUAUGCACUGGUGGUGAUGAUGAUGAAUUGGAAUGGCUACACAUGAGUGACUGGUCCAACAGAGAUGCUGGUUGCGGGCAAGGAACAAAUGCAUCAGUUGAAAAGGACCAUAGUAGCGUAAACGGAGCAGAUAUUAUGGAACCAGCCAGUGAAAAUAUUACGAUUUAUAUGAUGGUGGUGUUGUACAAGAUGACAACGACAGUAAUACUAACCAGUCAGUGAUGCCAUAGCGACUUCUCAUGAUUAGUGUAUUUGCCCAUACAGCCAUUUAAUAUUAGAUUCAUUGUUUCGGUCUGAUGCUAAUGCUAUGUCGGCGAUUUCAAAUCAAUAAUAUGCAUUUGUAAUUGUUUGUGGAAUGUCCUGGUGGAUUAAUCUGGAUUAACCAACUUGCGAAAAUUGUCUAUGUUACAUCCUUUUAAGUAACCUAAGGUUUUAACCUUACUAGCUGAAACAAUGAGGACUAUUCCCUGUAUGCAGACAUUAUAGAAUCAGUUAGUAGAAUCAGAGCGACUUUGUGUGAUGGGGGUGUCACUCAGGACGACAACAACAGCUAUAAUAUUAUAUGCUGCAGUUUAAAUUGUUGACGAAUCAUUUUAUGAUUAGUGUAUUGUCCAUCCAACGAAUUGUUCAUUAAAAUAUAUAUUAUACUAUAAAAUAUAAUCAGAUGCAUAUUUAUUUUUAAAUAUAGUAGAUAUUUACUAUCGUACCUAACUUUGAACUUUAGUUCUGGUUAAAUGGUUGAAUCAAGUCUCUGUGAGAGUUAUUAUGUCACAUCACAAUAUUCAUGGGAGAUGCUUGAUAUCACAUUUGAUAAGUAGGUAGCUAUGCCAUCUAUGUUUGAAUCUUGGAUAGUUUUAAGGCGACCAAAUUUAAUCUAUCAUGUAUAUAUCAAUUUUUUAGUAUCUAUGUAUUGCAUUGGUUGUAUUUUUACUGCACGUAGCAACGCACAGGCAUACUCUUAGUAAUCUAAAUAUUCCCACAGCAACAUGCGGGAAUUCACCAAGUUUCUAUAUGUCAA